rnacentral:SRP_RNA from 1 species
ACGGCAGAUAGGCCGGGGAGCUAAGGGUUCUCCGUUCGCAAAUCCCUUCAAAGGCGGGCUUACAUGUCGGUCAGGUAUAUAAGGGAAUUAAAAAAGAGUGCAAAGAAGUGUUGAGGCUCUGCCCUAAACGAUAACCUGGUAUGUGAAUCAGGCCAGGCCGGAAGGAGCAACCUUAAGCAUAUUGCGGAUUAAACUGCGUGCAAUUAGGUUAUGCUUUUAGGAUACAGGACUGAGUGGAUUUGCAUAACACCUUUUAAUUACUUUACAUGCUUGAUCGGCUUCUGCCGU